AGCGAACGCUGGCGGCAGGCUUAACACAUGCAAGUCGAGCGGGCAUAGCAAUAUGUCAGCGGCAGACGGGUGAGUAACGCGUGGGAACGUACCUUUUGGUUCGGAACAACACAGGGAAACUUGUGCUAAUACCGGAUAAGCCCUUACGGGGAAAGAUUUAUCGCCGAAAGAUCGGCCCGCGUCUGAUUAGCUAGUUGGUGAGGUAAUGGCUCACCAAGGCGACGAUCAGUAGCUGGCCUGAGAGGAUGAUCAGCCACAUUGGGACUGAGACACGGCCCAAACUCCUACGGGAAGCAGCAGUGGGGAAUAUUGGACAAUGGGCGCAAGCCUGAUCCAGCCAUGCCGCGUGAGUGAUGAAGGCCCUAGGGUUGUAAAGCUCUUUUGUGCGGGAAGAUAAUGACGGUACCGCAAGAAUAAGCCCCGGCUAACUUCGUGCCAGCCGCCGCGGUAA
rnacentral:rRNA from 1 species